UACGGGGGGAGCAAGCGUUGUUCGGAUUUACUGGGCGUAAAGGGCGCGUAGGCGGCCAGCACAAGUCAGUUGUGAAAUCUCCGAGCUUAACUCGGAAAGGUCAACUGAUACUGUGCGGCUAGAGUGCGGAAGGGGCAACUGGAAUUCUCGGUGUAGCGGUGAAAUGCGUAGAUAUCGAGAGGAACACCUGCGGCGAAGGCGGGUAGCUGGGCCGACACUGACGCUGAUGCGCGAAAGCCAGGGGAGCGAACGGG
rnacentral:rRNA from 1 species